rnacentral:rRNA from 1 species
CCUACGGGAGACAGCAGUGGGGAAUAUUGGACAAUGGGGGGAACCCUGAUCCAGCGACGCCGCGUGAGUGAAGAAGUAUUUCGGUAUGUAAAGCUCUAUCAGCAGGGAAGAAAAUGACGGUACCUGACUAAGAAGCCCCGGCCAACUACGUGCCAGCAGCCGCGGUUAUACGUAGGGAGCAAGCGUUAUCCGGAUUUACUGGGUGUAAAGGGAGCGUAGACGGUGCAGCAAGUCUGAUGGGAAAGGUCGGGGCCCAACCCCGGGACUGCAGUGGAAACUGUUGGACUGGAGUAGAGGAGAGGUAAGCGGAAUGCCUAGUGUAGCGGUGAAAUGCGUAGAUAUUAGGAGGAACACCAGUGGCGAAGGCGGCUUACUGGACGGUAACUGACGUUGAGGCUCGAAAGCGUGGGUAGCAAACAGGAUUAGAUACCCGAGUAGUC